rnacentral:rRNA from 1 species
UACGAAGGGGGCGAGCGUUGUUCGGAUUUACUGGGCGUAAAGGGCGCGCAGGCGGCUCAUCUUGUCAGGCGUGAAAGCCCCGGGCUUAACCUGGGAACUGCGUUUGAUACGGAUGGGCUAGAGUUCGGGAGAGGAGAGUGGAAUUCCAGGUGUAGCGGUGAAAUGCGUAGAUAUCUGGAGGAACACCGGUGGCGAAGGCGGGUCUCUGGGCCGAUACUGACGCUGAGGAGCGAAAGCGUGGGGAGCGAACAGG